rnacentral:rRNA from 1 species
UGGGGAAGUUUUGGUACAAUGGGGGCGAACCCUGAUCCAGCCAUGCCGCGUGAGUGAAGAAGGCCUUCGGGUUGUAAAGCUCUUUCGGCGGGGACGAAACGGUCCGUGACAACACCACGGACUAAUGACAGUACUCGCAGAAGAAGCACCGGCUAACUACGUGCCAGCAGCCGCGGUAAUACGUAGGGUGCAGGCGUUAAUCGGAAUUACUGGGCGUAAAGCGUGCGCAGGCGGCUCCUUAAGUCAGAUGUGAAAUCCCUGGGCUUAACCUGGGAACUGCGUUUGAAACUGAGGGGCUAGAGUGUGGAAGAGGGGGGUGGAAUUCCAGGUGUAGCAGUGAAAUGCGUAGAGAUCUGGAGGAACACCGAUGGCGAAGGCAGCCCCCUGGGCUAACACUGACGCUCAUGCACGAAAGCGUGGGGAGCAAACAGGAUUAGAUACCCAUGUAGUCCCUGAGCGGGCUGGCAAGGCGCAU